GGGUUGUGAGGUUAAGCGACUAAGCGUACACGGUGGAUGCCCUGGCAGUCAGAGGCGAUGAAGGACGUGCUAAUCUGCGAUAAGCGUCGGUAAGGUGAUAUGAACCGUUAUAACCGGCGAUUUCCGAAUGGGGAAACCCAGUGUGAUUCGUCACACUAUCAUUAACUGAAUCCAUAGGUUAAUGAGGCGAACCGGGGGAACUGAAACAUCUAAGUACCCCGAGGAAAAGAAAUCAACCGAGAUUCCCCCAGUAGCGGCGAGCGAACGGGGAGCAGCCCAGAGCCUGAAUCAGUGUGUGUGUUAGUGGAAGCGUCUGGAAAGGCGCGCGAUACAGGGUGACAGCCCCGUACACAAAAAUGCACAUGCUGUGAGCUCGAUGAGUAGGGCGGGACACGUGGUAUCCUGUCUGAAUAUGGGGGGACCAUCCUCCAAGGCUAAAUACUCCUGACUGACCGAUAGUGAACCAGUACCGUGAGGGAAAGGCGAAAAGAACCCCGGCGAGGGGAGUGAAAAAGAACCUGAAACCGUGUACGUACAAGCAGUGGGAGCACAGAGCAAUCUGUGUGACUGCGUACCUUUUGUAUAAUGGGUCAGCGACUUAUAUUCUGUAGCAAGGUUAACCGAAUAGGGGAGCCGAAGGGAAACCGAGUCUUAACUGGGCGUUAAGUUGCAGGGUAUAGACCCGAAACCCGGUGAUCUAGCCAUGGGCAGGUUGAAGGUUGGGUAACACUAACUGGAGGACCGAACCGACUAAUGUUGAAAAAUUAGCGGAUGACUUGUGGCUGGGGGUGAAAGGCCAAUCAAACCGGGAGAUAGCUGGUUCUCCCCGAAAGCUAUUUAGGUAGCGCCUCGUGAAUUCAUCUCCGGGGGUAGAGCACUGUUUCGGCAAGGGGGUCAUCCCGACUUACCAACCCGAUGCAAACUGCGAAUACCGGAGAAUGUUAUCACGGGAGACACACGGCGGGUGCUAACGUCCGUCGUGAAGAGGGAAACAACCCAGACCGCCAGCUAAGGUCCCAAAGUCAUGGUUAAGUGGGAAACGAUGUGGGAAGGCCCAGACAGCCAGGAUGUUGGCUUAGAAGCAGCCAUCAUUUAAAGAAAGCGUAAUAGCUCACUGGUCGAGUCGGCCUGCGCGGAAGAUGUAACGGGGCUAAACCAUGCACCGAAGCUGCGGCAGCGACGCUGAUGCGUUGUUGGGUAGGGGAGCGUUCUGUAAGCCUGCGAAGGUGUGCUGUGAGGCAUGCUGGAGGUAUCAGAAGUGCGAAUGCUGACAUAAGUAACGAUAAAGCGGGUGAAAAGCCCGCUCGCCGGAAGACCAAGGGUUCCUGUCCAACGUUAAUCGGGGCAGGGUGAGUCGACCCCUAAGGCGAGGCCGAAAGGCGUAGUCGAUGGGAAACAGGUUAAUAUUCCUGUACUUGGUGUUACUGCGAAGGGGGGACGGAGAAGGCUAUGUUGGCCGGGCGACGGUUGUCCCGGUUUAAGCGUGUAGGCUGGUUUUCCAGGCAAAUCCGGAAAAUCAAGGCUGAGGCGUGAUGACGAGGCACUACGGUGCUGAAGCAACAAAUGCCCUGCUUCCAGGAAAAGCCUCUAAGCAUCAGGUAACAUCAAAUCGUACCCCAAACCGACACAGGUGGUCAGGUAGAGAAUACCAAGGCGCUUGAGAGAACUCGGGUGAAGGAACUAGGCAAAAUGGUGCCGUAACUUCGGGAGAAGGCACGCUGAUAUGUAGGUGAAGUCCCUCGCGGAUGGAGCUGAAAUCAGUCGAAGAUACCAGCUGGCUGCAACUGUUUAUUAAAAACACAGCACUGUGCAAACACGAAAGUGGACGUAUACGGUGUGACGCCUGCCCGGUGCCGGAAGGUUAAUUGAUGGGGUUAGCGCAAGCGAAGCUCUUGAUCGAAGCCCCGGUAAACGGCGGCCGUAACUAUAACGGUCCUAAGGUAGCGAAAUUCCUUGUCGGGUAAGUUCCGACCUGCACGAAUGGCGUAAUGAUGGCCAGGCUGUCUCCACCCGAGACUCAGUGAAAUUGAACUCGCUGUGAAGAUGCAGUGUACCCGCGGCAAGACGGAAAGACCCCGUGAACCUUUACUAUAGCUUGACACUGAACAUUGAGCCUUGAUGUGUAGGAUAGGUGGGAGGCUUUGAAGUGUGGACGCCAGUCUGCAUGGAGCCGACCUUGAAAUACCACCCUUUAAUGUUUGAUGUUCUAACGUUGACCCGUAAUCCGGGUUGCGGACAGUGUCUGGUGGGUAGUUUGACUGGGGCGGUCUCCUCCUAAAGAGUAACGGAGGAGCACGAAGGUUGGCUAAUCCUGGUCGGACAUCAGGAGGUUAGUGCAAUGGCAUAAGCCAGCUUGACUGCGAGCGUGACGGCGCGAGCAGGUGCGAAAGCAGGUCAUAGUGAUCCGGUGGUUCUGAAUGGAAGGGCCAUCGCUCAACGGAUAAAAGGUACUCCGGGGAUAACAGGCUGAUACCGCCCAAGAGUUCAUAUCGACGGCGGUGUUUGGCACCUCGAUGUCGGCUCAUCACAUCCUGGGGCUGAAGUAGGUCCCAAGGGUAUGGCUGUUCGCCAUUUAAAGUGGUACGCGAGCUGGGUUUAGAACGUCGUGAGACAGUUCGGUCCCUAUCUGCCGUGGGCGCUGGAGAAUUGAGGGGGGCUGCUCCUAGUACGAGAGGACCGGAGUGGACGCAUCACUGGUGUUCGGGUUGUCAUGCCAAUGGCACUGCCCGGUAGCUAAAUGCGGAAGAGAUAAGUGCUGAAAGCAUCUAAGCACGAAACUUGCCCCGAGAUGAGUUCUCCCUGACUCCUUGAGAGUCCUGAAGGAACGUUGAAGACGACGACGUUGAUAGGCCGGGUGUGUAAGCGCAGCGAUGCGUUGAGCUAACCGGUACUAAUGAACCGUGAGGCUUAACCUUACAACGCCGAAG
rnacentral:rRNA from 1 species